UACCCGAACUCUUUUCCCUCUUCUCCCCCGACUCCGAUCUCUCUCUGUUCUCUCUUUCUCGCGGACGGAUUUGUGGCGAUCGUCCCCAUCGCAUUGUCGGAGGACCAGGUCGUCGAAGCUCGAUGGGAAACGACGGAGUCCAGUCUAUCUUUGGUCCAGUGAUUUCUUCUCUGGUGUUUCCUGUGCCCGAUCAAUGAAGGCGUGGAGGCUAGGGCACGGAGGGGGCUGGAGGUGCGUCAUUCCCAGUCGAUCUGUGCCCUUCUCUUCUUGAGUUUCUUUUUCUCUUCGGCCUCGACAAGCGACUGUGAAGGUUUUUCCAUCACCGCCCCCAAAUCGCUUCAAUUGGAGAGAAAUUAAGGCUAUCAGCGUCCGAUCUGUCCAGCACCGGCAAUGUGGGUGAGUGGACGGCCAUAACAGUGAUCUUGGAGGUAGAGGAGCUGAUAGAUUCUAGCCCUCAUCAUUGUUAGCUAGGUUUGCCUCGCCGGAUAUGUGAUUACCACCGGCGACUAUAGAGGAGGAGUGGAGUGGAAUCCAGUAGGUUGUUCUGUUCGGUGGGGUAUUCUUAUCUGGUCUAGCAGAUCACCUUGUUUUCCAGCAACACCUCUUUGGUUGCAAAUCAAUAGCAGAGGUUGGAGAUUAAGGACUCUGAUUCGAGACGGGCGUCUCGACUUUGAAUCGCUUGAUUGUACCUUCUAUUUGAGGCGGGUACCCUUUGACUUAUCUUUUUGAUAUUGUCUUAUGAUAUGUGUGGUUUAUAUAUAAUUGCUAGUGGUAGUCGAUAGAUUUAUCUCUUCCCUGGUCUUAGCUUAGUUGAUACCUAUCGGAUGCAUCUACUGUUAGUUGCUUUACAUUAGAACUGGAUGCUUUUAUCUUUUACCAUGUGUAUCUAUGUUUAUAGAGAUGGAUAUGUAUAUAUGGUAGUUCUGUCCAUUGGAUUAGUUGCUAUACCUACUUGAUAUGUGUUGUUGGAUUUAUGCUUGGUUAUAUAUAUAUAUAUGUGUGUGUGUGUGUGUGUGUGUGUGUUUACCUUUUUGGCACACACGUAUACGGAGGAGGUUAUGUUCAAGUAUGACAUACUGUAGCAUCAUGCACCAUCCCGCAUGAUUGCAUGCUUGGCGAUUGA